AGCUUCGGAACGUCUGUUUCGCGCCAGCCAUCCUUACUGAUAAAGAAAAGAAACGCUAUUACAAGGCAUACAAGAGCACUGAAGCGUAUGUAUUUUAAAUCAGGAUGGGUGAAUGAUCCUAGAUUUUAUCAUCUGGAGAUGAAGAAACUUUUCUUAUUUACAGGAAAGGUUAAGCAUUCACAAAACCUUUCUGUGACCCCAACACAUCCCUGGAUCACAGUCCAAGAGGACGGGACAGUACUAAUGGCUUAUUGCACCUGUAAGGCAGGCCUAGGAGAGGUCUGCUCUCAUGCAGCAGCUCUUCUGUUCUCUGUGUUGGCUGCUGCUGAUAUUAAAAACGGGCAGGCUUGCACCGAGAAGCCUUGUGCUUGGGCUCAGACAAGUAUGAACUCUGUCAGAGGGGUCCCAUAUGAAGAGAUCUGCAACAUCAGUUUUUCUCAUAAAGAAGAGCCAUGUUCAAGCCGUGAAGAUCAAGGUCCUGGUUGUCCUGAUAUCAGACCAUCAGAUAAAGACUGCCAAGCAUUCUUUGAGGCGCUUCAUAAUAGUGAAUUGCAGGAGUCCAAACCAAAGAAGAGUGUGAUCCUCUCUGUCAUUGAGGGCCACUCCCACAGAUAAGAUGCUCUGCUCCACAGACUGACUGAAAACUAAGCUCUUUUGUGGCUUGCACAUAAUACUUUACAGCUAAUCUCAGUUAUGACAGGGGAAAACAAAAACAUGGGCUAAUUAUAAUGAGUAAUUACUACAGGUCUAGAAUAUUUAACUGUACAUUUGUUCUUUUGUCACUUUAAAUAGUCUGGACACUAUUUAUUGUCACUUAAAAUGUCUUGUUUCUGUUUCUCUCUCACAGGUACAUCCCAAAGGUGAUGCAACUGGACUUGCCAGCUCCUCUUUCCACAUUAUACUCAAGCACCUGGCUGGAGAUGGACUUUCCCUUGCUGCUGAUUGAGAGUACAAAGGUCUUUGAUGAUCUACAUCUAACAAAGCAACAGAUGGGGUCAACAUAAUGAGGACAGAGCAAGGGAAAGCUAUGUUGCUAUGAUGCAAGACCACCAUGAAGACUUCCAGGUGAGGGCAUCAGGGUUCAUCAUCAACCCAGAACUCCCCUGGAUUGGAGCAUCACCUGAUGGUUUGGUAGCCUGCAUUUGCCAUGGAGAUGGCAUUUUAGAGAUAAAAUGCCCCUUCAAAACCAGGAACUGCUCCCUCACUGAAAGCUGCAAGGAUUACUCAUUCUGUCUUGGCAUAGGAGAGGAUGGGGUCAUGGCACUGAGACAUUUCCACAAGUACAUGUAUCAAGUGCAGGCACAAAUGCACAUUGCAGAGGUGAGUUACUGUGACUUCAUGGUGUGGACACCACAGGAAGUUUUCACCCAGCGAAUUCCAUAUGAUCCUGUCUUCUUACACGAUGCUUACGACAAAGUGGUGAAUUUCAUCAAGAAUGGAGUGCUCCCUGAGCUGCUGGGGAAAUGGUAUACAGCACCACGCCUUACUCCCAUAUACACCACAGCCACAAAACAGCCACCUGAAGUGGGAUGCUACUGUGGUCAACCUGUGGCCACAGAUGUCAUCAUUUGCACAUCUGGAAAUUGUAGGCGAAAGCACUUUCACAAGACCUGCCUUAAGCUGACCAGGGUGCCUAAGACAUGGAAAUGUGUGGAGUGCAGAAAACAAGUUUAGUAUUACCAGUCUGUGACAGGGGAGCUGACUGACCUAAUGAUAGUCUUGUGUAAAGUACUUGAAACAAUACUUGAGUAAAAGUACAAGUAUCUGGUUCCUACACAGCCUGUUUUUGCACACGCUAAUUACAAUAUCUGUAUUAUAUUUUUGACUCUUAUGUAUAUUGUAUAAUUCGGUCUGCUAUACUUGCACUAUCUGUAUAUUGACUUUUUUUCUACAUUCAACAUUCUUAUAGACAGUUAUCUCAGGUUUAUUGUGUGAUCUCUGAUCUACAUCAGUAACUACACUGUAUAUUUGGCUCUACACUACGUUUUAGCUUCUUACAGACCGUCUAUGUAUGCUUAUUGUUAUAAUUGUAAUUGCCUUGUAAUGGCUACUUAUGCUGCACUUUAUGUAGCUAGUAAGUAAAAAGUUAAAGUUGUAAGUUAAAGUUUCCUUUUAGAAUAUUACUUAAAGUAAGUCUUAAAGUGUCUGUUAUUUACUGUACUUAAGUAUCCAAAGUAAUUUUCUGAUAUUAAAUGUACUUGAAUAUUAGAAGUGUGUGUAUGUGUGUGUGUGUGUGUGUGUGUGUGUGUGUAUAUAUAUAUAUAUAUAUCCAUACACACACUU